rnacentral:lncRNA from 1 species
AUAAUAUUCCGACCGGGAAUCUCCUUUUCGGCAAACAGAGGAAAAAUCACAAAGACGGGGGCAGCCAGGGCACGCGCCUAAGCCCACAGUCCCUUGAUCCGCCACUUGAGAAAGGCGAUAAUGUGUUUCAGCCUGGGGCUGGGAUGACGACAUUCUGUUUUUUCCCGGGCUCUGAGCGCCUAUGGAAGACGUAGGAAGUGUCACGUUAGAGCAGAGAUCCUUUGUAAAAGAUAGAGAUGGCAAAGAAGUUCAAGAAAUGGUCAGACAGGCCACUUCCUGUAAAGGAAUCUCUCAGGUUUUGACCUGCCAUUUGAGUUCUGUUAUACUCACAGACACCAUUCAAACAGUUUUAGAAACUUUAGGGUGUUUUCUAUCCAAAGCCAAUAAUUAUAUGCAUAUUCUAGUUACUGGGCAGGAGUAGUAACCAGAUUAAAUCGGGUACGUUUUUUAUCCAGCCGUGAAAAUACUGCCCCCUAGCCAUAACAGGUUAAAAGUAAAACAUUUGCUUACACUUCCUUACUUCUGGAACACAAGCUUCCAGGGAGGGCAAUUUUGUGGCUUCACCAUGUUUCAUCGAAAUGUACAGCUGUGUAUCGUCCACAUAGUAGUGAAAGUUAACAUUAUGUUUUCCCGAAUAACAUCACCAAGAGGCAAAUAUAUAGUGACAACAAUAGUGGUCCUAAAACGGAACCUUGAGGAACACCGAAAUGUACAGUUGAUUUGUCAGAAGACAAACCAUCCACAGAGACAAACUGAUAUCUUUUCCAGACAGAUAAGAUCUAUACCAGGCCAGAACUUGUCCGUGUAGACCAAUUUGGGUUUCCAAUCUCUCCAAAAGAAUCCAUCCUCUCUUGGGGAGUGCUGCUUUUUAGUUAGCUUUGCGACAGUAUCAAAAAUAGAUUUUGGAUUGUUCUUAUUCCUCAAUUAAGUUGGAAAAUAGGAUGAUCGAGCAGCAGUGAGGGCUCUUCGAUACUGCACGGUACGGUCUUUCCAAGCUAGUCGGAAGACUUCUAGUUUGGUGUAGCGCCAUUUGCGUUCCAAUUUUCUGGAAGCUUGCUCAGGGCUGGGGUAUUUUCUGUAUACCAGGGAGCUAGUUUCUUAUGAAAAAUGUUUUUUUGUUUUUGGGGGUGCGACUGCAUCUAGGGUAUUACUUAAGGUUACAUUUAGUUCCUCAGUUAGGUGGUUAAAUUCUUAUGGCUGGAAUCCCAUUAGCGGGAUCGAUAUGACAACAGCCAGUGAAAGUGCAGGGCGCCAAAUUCAAAACAACUAAAAUCUCAUAAUUAAAAUUCCUCAAACAUACAAGUAUUAUACACCAUUUUAAAGCUUUACUUCUUGUUAAUCCAGCCACAGUGUCUGAUUUCAAAAAGGCUUUACGGCGAAAGCAAACCAUAUGAUUAUGUUAGGUCAGCGCCUAUACACAAAAAAACACAGCCAUUUUCCAGCCAAAGAGAGGAGUCACAAAAAAGCAGAAAUAGAGAUAAAACGAAUCACUAACCUUUGAUGACCUUCAUCAGAUGACACUCAUAGGACUUCAUGUUACACAAUACAUGUAUGUUUUGUUCAAUAAAGUUCAUAUUUAUAUCCAAAAAUCUCAGUUUACAUUGGCGCGUUAUGUUUAGUCAUGUUUUGCCUCCAAAACACACGGUGAUGUUUGCAGAGAGCCAUAUCAAUUUACAGAAAUACUCAUCAUAAAUGUUGAUGAAAAUACAAGUGUUAUGCAUAGGAUUAUAGAUACACUUCUCCUUAAUGCAAUCGCUGUGUCAGAUUUCAAAAAAGCUUUACCAAAAAAGCACACCAUGUAAUAAUCUGAGUACGGCGCUUAGACACAAAAACAUGCCAUACAAUAUAUCCGCCAUGUUGGAGUCAACAAUAGUCAGAAAUAGCAUUAUAAAUAUUCACUUACCUUUGAUGAUCUUCAUCAGGAUGCACUCCCAGGAAUCCCAGUUCCACACUAAAUGUUUGUUUUGUUCGAUAAAGUCCAUCCUUUAUGUCCAAAUACCUCCUUUUUGUUCACGCCUUCAGUUCACAAAUUCAAAUUCACGACGCGCAGGUCAGACGAAAAUUCCAUUAUAGUUCAUAGAAACAUGUCAAACGAUGUAUAGAAUCAAUCUUUAGGAUGUUUUUAUCAGAAAUCUGCAAUAAAGUUUCAACCGGAGAAAUCCUUUGUCUUCAGAAAUGCAAUGGAACUGAGCUACCUCUCACAUGAGCGCACAUGGCUGAGGCUCAUGCCCUGCUGGCAGUCCUCUCACUCAAUGAGCUCUUAUUCUCCCCCACUUCACAGUAGAAGCCUCAAACAAGGUUCUAAAGACUGUUGACAUCUAGUGGAAGCCUUAGGAAGUGCAAAAUGAACCCACAGACACUGUAGUUUGGAUAGGCAAUCACUUGAAAAACUACAAACCACUUCCUGUUUGGAUUUUUUCUCAGGUUUUUGCCUGCCAUAUGAGUUCUGUUAUAGUCACAGACAUCAUUCAAACAGUUUUAGAAACUUCAGAGUGUUUUCUAUCCAAAUCUACUAAUAAUAUGCAUAUCUUAGUUUCUGGGAGUGAGUAGAAGGCAGUUUACUCUGGGCAAAUCAGUCAUCCAAGCUACUCAAUACUGCCACAAUCCAUAAGAAGUUAACCGAUUUUUGUACUCUGACGUCCUUGGGUAGGUGGAGGGAGUCUGGAAGGGCAUCUAGGAAUCUUUGGGUUGUCCGAGAAUUUAUAGCACGGCUUUUGAUGAUCCUUGGUUGGGGUCUGAGCAGAUUAUUCAUUGCGAUUGCAAACGUAAUAGAAUGGUAGUCCGAUAGUCCAGGAUUAUGAGGAAAAACAUUAAGAUCCACAAUAUUUAUUCC